UACGGGGGGAGCAAGCGUUGUUCGGAUUUACUGGGCGUAAAGGGCGCGUAGGCGGCGCAACAAGUCACUUGUGAAAUCUCUGGGCUUAACCCGGAGCGGCCAAGUGAUACUGUCGUGCUAGAGUGCGGAAGGGGCUACUGGAAUUCUCGGUGUAGCGGUGAAAUGCGUAGAUAUCGAGAGGAACACCUGCGGCGAAGGCGGGUAGCUGGGCCGACACUGACGCUGAGGCGCGAAAGCCAGGGGAGCGAACGGG
rnacentral:rRNA from 1 species